rnacentral:rRNA from 1 species
GACGAACGCUGGCGGCGUGCCUAAUACAUGCAAGUCGAACGCACAGUUUAUACCGUAGCUUGCUACACCAUACACUGUGAGUUGCGAACGGGUGAGUCACGCGUAGGUAACCUGCCGGGUAGCGGGGGAUAACUAUUGGAAACGAUAGCUAAUACCGCAUAAUCUUGAUUAUUGCGUGAUAAUUGAUAGCAAGAUGCUAUUGCAUCACUACCAGAUGGACCUCCGUUGUAUUAGCUAGUAGGGGAGGUAACGGCCCACCUAGGCGACGAUACAUAGCCGACCUGGGAGGGUGGUCGGCCACCCUGGGACUGGGGCCAGGCCCAGACUCCUUCGGGGAGCAGCAGUAGGGGAUCUUCGGCAAUGGACGAAAGUCUGACCGAGCCACGCCGCGUGAGUGAAGAAGGGUUUCGGAUCGUAAAGCUCUGUUGUAAGAGAAGAACGGGUGUGAGGGUGGAAAGUUCACGCUGUGACGGUAUCUUAACAGAAAGCGACGGCUAACUACGUG